rnacentral:rRNA from 1 species
AAACCAGCACCUCAAGUGGUCAGGAGGAUUAUUGGGCCUAAAGCAUCCGUAGCCUGUUCUGUAAGUUUUCGGUUAAAUCCAUUAGCUCAACUAAUGGGCUGCCGAAAAUACUGCAGAACUAGGGAGUGGGAGAGGUAGACGGUAUUCGGUAGGAAGGGGUAAAAUCCUUUGAUCUAUUGAGGACCACCUGUGGCGAAGGCGGUCUACCAGAACACGUUCGACGGUGAGGGAUGAAAGCUGGGGGAGCAAACAGGAUUAGAAACCCGAGUAGUCC